AGUCCUGGGGUGUAACAUGUGUGGGUGCAAACCAUAAGAAGCAGAUUAACAUCUGCCGGGACUU
rnacentral:tRNA from 1 species